AUGGCAGCAUGCCUUAGCCAAUUCUCAAUUCCUUAUGCCAUCGUCGAGCGCGAGAGCUGUAGCGCGUCACUCUGGCGCAACCGCGCGUAUGAUCGCCUCAAGCUGCAUCUCGCAAAGGAGUUCUGUGAGUUGCCACACAUGUCAUACCCUAUAGAUGCACCAACAUACAUACCAAAAACCUUGUUUGUGAAGUACUUGGAUGACUAUGUGGAGCGUUUCAACAUUCAACCAAAGUAUCUCACCAGCGUGGAGUCAUCCACAUAUGACAAUGAUGAAAAAUGUUGGUCCAUUGUGGAAAAGGACAUGUCAAAGUGCACCACAGUCAAGUUCACGGCGAAGUUUCUUGUUGUGGCAAGUGAUGAGAAUAGUGCAGAGAAUAUUCCAAUGUUCCCUGGACUGGAAAACUUUCCAGGUGAUGUUAUCCACUCCUCAAGAUACAAGUCAGGCAAGAGCUACUCUGGCAAGAAUGUAUUGGUCAUUGGAUCUGGCAACUCCGGGAUGGAAAUUGCUUAUGACCUUGCGACCCAUGGUGCCAACACAUCGAUUGUUAUACGAAGCCCGAUUCAUGUGAUGACAAAGGAAUUAAUUCGUUUGGGGAUCACACUUGCUCACCGUCUUCCAUUGAAUCUAGUGGAUAAAAUCCUUGUUAUGGCAUCGUAUUUAAUAUUUGGAGACCUGUCACAGCAUGGCAUCACAAGGCCAAAAAUGGGUCCAAUGACCCUCAAAUCAGAAACAGGCCGAUCUGCAGUAAUUGAUGUUGGGACUGUUGGAUUGAUCAAAAAAGGCAUCAUCAAAAAUGGUGAGAGCAUGUUAAAUGGCAAUGGACUGCCCAUCCAAAAAUAUCCGAAUCAUUGGAAAGGUGAAAAUGGGCUCUACUGUGCUGGGUUGGCGAGGAGAGGAUUAGCUGAUUCAUGUGAUUACAAGAAAAUUAAUUUAGUUGGGAUGACACUUGCUCACUUUCUUUCACUAAAUCUAGUGGGCGACCUCUUUGUGACGGCUGCGAAUGUCAUAUUUGGAGAUCGAUCGAGGACAUAUAUGACCAAUGUUAUGACCACGCAAGGGAUAACGGGCCUCCCAAUGGCAGCAUGCCUUAGCCAAUUCUCAAUUCCUUAUGCCAUCGUCGAGCGCGAGAGCUGUAGCGCGUCACUCUGGCGCAACCGCGCGUAUGAUCGCCUCAAGCUGCAUCUCGCAAAGGAGUUCUGUGAGUUGCCACACAUGUCAUACCCUAUAGAUGCACCAACAUACAUACCAAAAACCUUGUUUGUGAAGUACUUGGAUGACUAUGUGGAGCGUUUCAACAUUCAACCAAAGUAUCUCACCAGCGUGGAGUCAUCCACAUAUGACAAUGAUGAAAAAUGUUGGUCCAUUGUGGCAAAGGACAUGUCAAAGUGCACCACAGUCAAGUUCACGGCGAAGUUUCUUGUUGUGGCAAGUGGUGAGAAUAGUGCAGAGAAUAUUCCAAUGUUCCCUGGACUGGAAAACUUUCCAGGUGAUGUUAUCCACUCCUCAAGCUACAAGUCAGGCAAGAGCUACUCUGGCAAGAAUGUAUUGGUCAUUGGAUCUGGCAACUCCGGGAUGGAAAUUGCUUAUGACCUUGCGACCCAUGGUGCCAACACAUCGAUUGUUAUACGAAGCCCGAUUCAUGUAAUGACAAAGGAAUUAAUUCGUUUGGGGAUGACACUUGCUCACUAUCUUCCAUUGAAUCUAGUGGAUAAAAUCCUUGUUAUGGCAUCGUAUUUAAUAUUUGGAGACCUGUCACAGCAUGGCAUCACAAGGCCAAAAAUGGGUCCAAUGACCCUCAAAUCAGAAACAGGCCGAUCUGUAGUAAUUGAUGUUGGGACUAUUGGAUUGAUCAAAAAAGGCAUCAUCAAAGUUCAAGGGAGCAUUAGUAAGAUCAAGGGCAACAUAGUUAAAUUUCAAUGCAGUAAAAGAAUGCCAUUUGAUGCAAUUGUGUUUGCAACUGGAUAUAAAAGCACGGCAAAUAUGUGGCUCAAGGUCUAUGUGUUUUUAAUCCGGAAUGGUGAGAGCAUGUUAAAUGGCAACGGACUGCCCAUCCAAAAAUAUCCGAAUCAUUGGAAAGGUGAAAAUGGGCUCUACUGUGUUGGGUUGGCGAGGAGAGGAUUAGCUGGAAUUGCAACAGAUGCCAAGAAUAUCGCUAAUGACAUCAAAUCUGUGAUGGACUCUAUGUCAAGUUAA
rnacentral:rRNA from 1 species